AACGCGAAGAACCUUACCCAGACUUGACAUGCAGUAGACCGAUCCAGAAAUGGAUCUUUCCUUCGGGACUGCUGCACAGGUGCUGCAUGGCUGUCGUCAGCUCGUGCCGUGAGGUGUUGGGUUAAGUCCCGCAACGAGCGCAACCCUUAUCAUUAGUUGCCAACAUUUCGGAUGGGAACUCUAAUGAGACUGCCUGGGUUAACCAGGAGGAAGGUGAGGAUGACGUCAAGUCCGCAUGGCCCUUAUGUCUGGGGCUACACACGUGCUACAAUGGCCGGUACAGAAGGCAGCAAACCCGCAAGGCGAAGCAAAUCCCUAAAACCGGCCCCAGUUCAGAUUGUAGUCUGCAACUCGACUACAUGGAGAUGGAAUUGCUAGUAAUGGCGAGUCAGCAACAUCGCCGUGAAUACGUUCNCCGGGUCUUGUACACACCG
rnacentral:rRNA from 1 species